UUAGUUUUAUGUGCAUAAAAAGUUGACAGUACGUUGAAACGCGCGCGGCGCGUGUGACUGUGUGAGUGCCGCUUCGCUUCGGGCCGACAGCGGCCCGGGCGCGGCGGGCGGCGCGGGCGAGCGAGUUGUAUAGGCAGUUAUCGCGCGCAAGUACGUCGAGUGCCAGUGGCUUGGUAACUGUCCGUCCCCCCUGCGUGCCUACCGCUCGCCGCCGCGCCGUUGGGUCUUCGGAGUUCCUAAACGCAGAGGGUUUUCAACAGUCACUACCUACUGUCGUGCGCGUUAAUAUUUUUUUUUGUUGUGUAACAUGAUGUGUAUUAAGAAGUCAACAUCUGGCCAGUUGUGUGCUGUACAUGGAUGCAGAACAAGUAAAAGAAACAACAAACUAAAUCUUUCGUUUUUCUCAUUACCUAAAGAAGAAGACAGACGCAAAAAAUGGACAGAAUUGAUUGGCAGACCUGAUUUAGAUACUUCAAAAGCAAAAACUACUUUUCUGUGUUCACUACAUUUUGACCCUUCUGUGAUUAUAAAUAUACCAAAAUUACAUCCUGAUGCUUUGCCGUCACGUUGUCUUCCGUCUGAGGCUCAAAAGGAAGAUUUACAUCCUGAACCUGGAACAGCAUUUUAUAAUUGUACAUUAAUGAAAAGACCUACCCAGGAAGCAUCUACUCAGACUGAAUACACUGCUGAAACAUUAAAAGCUCCUGCCGCCCAAUCAGAGUCAGAAAAAACUACAGCCACGGUUUCAACCAACACACCAAGAAAAAGAAAGCUUAAAAUUAGAUCGAAGCAAUUAACCCCAAAGAAAAAGAAAACCCAAGAAUGAUUUGGACAGAACAAUCACAAUAGUUCAGAGGUGCUUUCAGAAGUAUUUUUUCAACCUGUCGAUCUAUCGCAAUGCUUACAAAGUAGCAACAAUAAUAAAAAAUAAAUGUUAUCUUUAUGA